rnacentral:misc_RNA from 1 species
AAGGUUUCAAAUCUUCAUUCAUGUCUGAUCGGCACUGUCACAGAAAUCACCUGCACGACCUAAUUUCUUUCUAUUAUUAUCGAUCUUAGUUAUGUCAUUUACAGUCACUCUAUCAUCUCCUUUUUCCUUCUCUCAAACACACCACCACCGGCACCAACGAAGAAGUCACCACUUCCAAUCUCAUCCCGAAUCGACCAUCCGACUUCUCUCUCACAAAGCUCCUCCUCCUUUUCUUCUUCUGCUUCCUC